rnacentral:rRNA from 1 species
GCCAGACUCCUACGGGAGGCAGCAGUGAGGAAUAUUGGUCAAUGGGCGGGAGCCUGAACCAGCCAAGCCGCGUGAAGGAGGAAGGCGCCAGGCGUCGUAAACUUCUUUUGUCGGGGAACAAAGGGCGCCACGCGUGGCGUUGUGAGUGUACCCGAAGAAAAAGCAUCGGCUAACUCCGUGCCAGCAGCCGCGGUAAUACGGAGGAUGCGAGCGUUAUCCGGAUUUAUUGGGUUUAAAGGGUGCGUAGGCGGUCCGGAAAGUCAGCGGUAAAAGCCCGGGGCUCAACCCCGGCCGGCCGUUGAAACUGGUUUUCUAGAGUUGGAGAGAAGUAUGCGGAAUUCGUGGUGUAGCGGUGAAAUGCAUAGAUAUCACGAAGAACUCCGAUUGCGAAGGCAGCAUACCGGCUCCAUACUGACGCUGAGGCACGAAAGCGUGGGGAUCGAACAGGAUUAGAUACCCCAGUA